GAUGAAGAACGUAGCGAAAUGCGAUACUUGGUGUGAAUUGCAGAAUCCCGUGAACCAUCGAGUCUUUGAACGCAAGUUGCGCCCGAAGCCAUUAGGCCGAGGGCACGCCUGCCUGGGCGUCACACGUCGUUGCCCCCCCAUCUACUCCUUCGGGAUUGCGGGGGGCGGAUGAUGGCCUCCCGUGCGCCUCGCCGCGCGGUUGGCAUAAAUGCCAAGUCCUCGGCGACGCACGCCACGACAAUCGGUGGUUGCGAAACCUCGGUUGCCCGUCGUGUGCGGUCGUCGCGCAUCGAGGGCUCGAAAAAAUUGCCGGGUUCCGGCUCGGCUUUCAACGCGACCCCAGGUCAGGCGGGGUUACCCGCUGAAUUUAAGCGUAUCAAUAAGCGGAGGA
rnacentral:misc_RNA from 1 species